rnacentral:rRNA from 1 species
CAAUAGCGUAUAUUAAAGUUGUUGCAGUUAAAAAGCUCGUAGUUGGAUUUCUGGUGGGAGCGAUCGGUCUGGCGCUUAGCGCGAGUACUUGCAUCGUCUCCGGCCAUCCUUGGGGAGAGUCUGUCUGGCAUUAGGUUGUCGGGCAGAGGAUCCUCAUCGUUUACUGUGAAAAAAUUAGAGUGUUCAAAGCAGGCUUAUGCCGUUGAAUAUAUUAGCAUGGAAUAAUAAGAUAGGACUUUGGUACUAUUUUGUUGGUUUGCGCACUAAAGUAAUGAUUAAUAGGGACAGUUGGGGGUAUUCGUAUUCCGUUGUCAGAGGUGAAAUUCUUGGAUUACGGAAGACGAACUACUGCGAAAGCAUUUACCAAGGAUGUUUUCAUUAA